AAAUAUUUUUGUUUUCUUCAGAUGCUUGUGCUCUUUAAAGAAGCUUUGCUGUGUGUAAUUCAUGGCUUGCAAGGACCAAACGUUUCAUUCUGUGUCUAUUUAAUUGAAACUGUCUCGGGCUCAUUUUUGCUGUCAUGUCUUUUUUUUAAGUGUUUAAGCAUGUCUGCCUCUAACAAAUAAGCACUUUAGAAUGUGACAAGCCAUACAUUUUUUGGCCAGUUUUUAGGAGUGCGUGUUUUGUUGUUGGGUCAAUAAAAUGUCUAAUUGCUGAACUUA